AUAAGUCCUGAAUGGGUUACCGUAAAUGAGAGAGAAGGAUGGCGAGUGAAAGCUUUGUAGGAACAUGGGAAGAUACUGAGGUCCAAGGAUAUGACGAAUUCAUGGCUGCUCUAGAUUUUUCAAAGGAGCAAAUUGAAGCACAGAGAGAAUCGAGGAAUACAAUUAAUAAAGCAUAGAUUCCAAUGGAAAGUUGACAGUUGCCAUCUCUAACACAGGCAUGCCGGGAAUGGCGAAAACUUACACAUUCGGCAUCGGUGAAGAGAUUAAUGACAAGACCCUCGACGGCAGGGAAAUGAAGAACAAGGUCGAAAUUGUCAGUGACACAGAAAUCAGGGAAAACAUGAAGAUCAAGUUCGGAAAAGAAUGGAUAGAAUUUCAAUUAACUAAAGUAGUGGAAGGAAAUACCAUGACAACGGUAUUUACUGUAGCAAAAUA